rnacentral:lncRNA from 1 species
AUGGUUUCGAUAAGGCCACUUUUAACAAGCUUCCCACGGGGGAAUGGAAGGAACCAUCUCACACAGCAGCAACAAAAACGCUGUGCGUUUAGAAACAGAAGGGGUGACCUGAGCGCGGAGCGCUCGUUUGUUUCUGAGAGCCUCAGAACUCGAGCGAGAGACACGCAGGAAAUUCUUUUGCUCUCUGGGGAGGCUCAGAGGCCGAUAUUCACACAAAAACAGGAGUCAGACCUCUGGCGAUACCCAGUACCGCGUGAAUCACGGCCCGCCUGCACAUGCCGAGCCCGGGGUAACAGCGACAGCGCGCCUCCCGCACCGCUUCCGACCCAGGCGGAGCUGCGGGGCCGAAAAUGCCCAACGGCCGCGAGAAAGCAGCGCGGGGCCUCCGACCGCCGCUCCGCUUGCGGCGGGCUGCCUCCGAGCAGCUCCCCGAGGAGCCCGGGGACCCGAACAGCCCCCGGGAGCCCCCGGGCCGGGCCAGGCCGCGGCUGUGCCUCCCCUCGGCGACCCCGCAGCCGCCUUCACGCCGCCGCCGGUGCGGGACGAGGCCGUGCCCAGGCCGCUCCGCGCAGCGAGCCCCAGGGGCGCGGCAGGCCCGGACGGGGACGGGGACACGGGGACGGGGACACUCGGACACACGGCCAAGGCCGAGCCACCGGACGCAGCCGAGGCACGGAGCCGGGGCACGGAGCGGCGCCGCGGGCAGGCUCCGGCCGCGGCCCUGCGGCCCCGAAGCCGAGCGCCGUGCCGGGCCGGGCCGGGCCGUUCUGUGCCGGGCCGUUCCGUUCCGUGCCGCGCCGCCCCGCCGCCCCCCGGCCGUGCCCGCUCCGCCGCCGCGAACAUGGCGCCGCCGCCCCCCGCUGCCCGCCCGCGCCGCCCCCGCCCUCACCUUCCGUCAGUUCCAUUCUAACCGCCCCCGCCGCGUCCGCCGAGCCCCGCGGAGACAAAGGCCGGCGGCGGGGGCGGCGGGGCCCGGCCGCCCGUCCCGUCGCGCCGCUGCAGGCCGCGCCGCAGCCCCGGCCUCGAGUUCCGCGCCCCCGCCGCUGCCGCCGCCGCCGCCGCCGGGCCCCGCCCCGGGAGGCCGCCCGGCCCCCUGCGCGGCCGCGGGGAGGCGCCGGGCGGGCGGCGGGGGAAGGCGGGCGGGCGGCGAGGCGCUGCGCUGCGCUGCGGGGCCGCCCCGGGCCCGCCCCGCGCCGCUCCGUGCCCCCGGCCCCGCUCCCGGCCCGGCCCCGGCCCCGGCCCCGCUCCCGCGCCGCCGCCUCCGCCCCCCCCCCCGCCGCCGCGUCCCGCGCCUGCGCGCGCCGCCGCGCCCCAUUGGCCGCCCGGGAGGAGCCCGCCGCGGGGCACGCUGGGGGAUGUAGUCCUGCGGGAGGAGGGGGGCGCGGGGUCGCAUCCUGCCCCUGCGGUGGUGCCGGGCGGGGGCGCAGGCGGCGAGCGGGGCCUGGGGGCACCGCCUGCAGCGGGUCGGGGAACACAUCGUCCUCCGGCUAA